UAAAUUACACAUAGCAUAAAGUUUUCCAUUUCAACCAUUUUUAAGUGUCCAGUUCAAUGGCAUUAAUUACAUUCACACUGUUCAGCAAUUUCCAGAACUGUUCUUCA